AGAAUUAAUAUUGUGUAUUGGUAGCAUAUGAGGCCUAACUGAAGAAUAGGUGUUUUCAACUCUAAGGUUCAU
ensembl:snoRNA